rnacentral:lncRNA from 1 species
CACUAAGACAUUUUACUUCCACCUGUAAUAAUAUUAAGGCUUUACUUCUUCAACAUUAAUUUGAUGCAUACCUUUCUUUUUUCCCCCACAUUAAAAAACGUCAAUAAGUGUGAGCCAAUGUUUCAGUAGAUUUCAUCACUCUUUCUCUUCAAACUUUGUCUUUCUAUCCAGGUCUGUCUUGUCUGCCUGAAUUGUAACUGUGAAUAUUUUCCCAUGUUCACCUAUUGGGCUUUCAUUCUUCUUGAUAUCUAAUUCCUCCUUCAGAUAACUCAUCCAUUUUCAUGGCUUCAGCUAUGCCUUUACUUGAAUGAUUUCCAAAAUUCUAUCGCCAAUCCUUUCCCCUCAUCUAAGCACCAGUCAUUUAUUUUCAACUCUUCACUGGACAUUUCUACUUUGAUGAUUUGCCCCCUUUUCAAAAUAAACAAGCUGAAUUCUCCACCCCUCGAUCGCCUCCCACUCCUGAUUUCGUUUUUGUUUUCAAGAAUAGAAACCUGUUUCCGAAUAUUUAUUUGGAAAUAAAUAUUAUCCAUACUUGAAACUUUGGGCCAAGGCACAAGAAUGGCAAUGCAAAGACGUACAAAAAACUGGAGUUAACAUACAGAAGUGCAGUGAGCCAGGCUCAGCUGUAUGGACUUGGGGCCUUGGCCCUGUUUUACUCAGCGCCACCUAAUGGUCACCAUUUAGAAAGGCAGGCCUACUUUUGCCAGAUGCAAUUUUGCAAAGGAAAAUGUAAAUGUCAAUUUUAUAGUGAAAUUUAUCAAUAUGUUUAAACGUUGUCACUGUUAAACAAAAUGCAGCACUCUGGAAGCAAUAUGAAGUUUAUAUAUGAGUAUGUUUAUUCCAAGAGCUGCCAAUUUGUGACCACUACGAAAUCAGCUGAGCUAAAAGACAAUUGGAAAAUAUAUAAAUAAAUAAAAAGUAACUGGCAGCUCCUCUUGGUUAUGAUAAUGAUGCUAGAGCUAACACAGAUAACCCAAAAGAAUGGAGCCGUUCCAAAAAAUUGCCAUGGUUCUAAGAAGAAAAUAGAGAAAAAGAGAAUCUCAGUAACUAUACAGGAAUCAAAGGAUUUAGUAAAAUGGAAAUGCAUCGGCAGGAAAUCAUAAAUUUGUUAUUUUUUUAAAAUACAGUCAUGUGCCAAUAGGAUUACAUUCUAAGGAAUGCAUAAUUAGGCAAUUUCUUCAUUGUGUGAACAUCAUAGAGUGGAAUUACACAAACAUAGAUGGUAUAGUCUACCACAUACCUAGGUGAUAUGAUGGAACCUAUUGUUUCUAAACCACGAACUUAUACGGCAUGUUACGGCAUUGAUCUUAUGGGAUCACCCUUAGUAUAUGGACUGUUGUUGGCCAAAACAUUGUUAUGUGGCACAUGGCUAUAUAUAGCCAGAUGUGCCCAGGAAUUGCAAUAUGCAGCAUCUGUAGGGUCUCACUUGUUCUGAGAUGUUUAUAUAAAGGACAAGUAAAGAAACCUUAAAUCUGGUGCCCUCUUAACAAAGGUGUGAUGCAUUAUUCUUAUUACUUGUCCUUUCAAUUCUUACCUAGUGGCUUUCACAUAGUCUAAGUUUGAAAGUUCUAUAGUUAAGGCAGAGACAACAGCAAAAUCAAGGAUAAAUAUUUGAAUUACUCUAAGUCCAUUUGACAAAAAUAAAGUUCUGGAAAUGUAACUCAAUGACUUGAAAGCCCCUGUUCUUUUCCCUAUGAUUACUUACCUUGUCCAAGUCAUGUGGGCUCAGAAGAGGGAAAAACUUAAAACAUGGUCUCUCAUCUCAAGGAAGUUAGAUUCUGUUGAGGAGAAGAGACCCUAAAAUGGUAGGAAAGAACAGUCAAGAUUAAAGGACAAAUAAAAGGCAGACAAUAGGAUUUCAGAAAAGGCUGUAAUCACCACACAUAAAUUACCAAGAAAGGUUUCAUCAAGGAUGUUCUUCUUUAGCUGGUCCUUAAUAAAUGGGUAGGAUUUCAUGAAUAGAGAGAGAAUAUUUCAUCCCUCCCUCAAAUCAAGGGAUGAGCCCCUGGAGGACAGCGAGUGAGUUCUGAAUUCUCUGAGGAGCCACCUCUGACUACGACUGUCCCUCUCUGUCAAUCACAGAGCACUUCGAGUGACAUCAUGGCUGUUUGCAGUAUUAUGCUGUUGCUGUAGGCAGCAUGAAAUUGACAAGGAAUGGCACAGAGAAGAGCUGAAAGGGCACUUCUGCUUUUGUGAUGCAUCUGACACCUGUAGUUACAAGAAAGAAAACAGCUUUCAUAAGCAUAUUGCUAGGUGAUGUAGAAGGUGAAUGAGAAUUUAGAAGUAGUUUUUCAAUGUAAUAGCACAAUAGAAUCUAAACUGCUUCUGUGCACUUGCACCCUAAGAAUAUCUUCCUAAGUGGAAGCCAUCCGGUAUAUCCUUCUGUUUCAGAUAUCAUAAUUGUGAAGGUCAGAGAAAAGUGACUUGCUCAGGGUCACGUAAUGCAUGUGUAGCAAAAAGCUUUUUGGGACAUACUUCUGAUAGACUCUAAAAUCCUUAUUUUUUUAACUUUGCUACAAUGUCAUAUUGAUUCAUGUUUCCAGCACUGGGUCCUUCCUUUCAUUGUUUCUUCAAGAGCAAGAGUAUGUGUCUGAUAUAAAAAGCAAGUACUGAGUUUUCUUAAGUUCUAGUUCAAGGUCUAAAAAAUAAUGAAGGAUUAAACUUUUUUUAUUCAACUUAUCCAUUAUGAAACAUACUUGAACAAAUACACACUGCAGUAAUUAAAAUCAGCAUGCAAAAUGCUUUAUGUAAGUCUAGAGAGACAGAGUCAAACCUCACCACUCUGAAAAUUUGUUUGGGUUCUAUUUUCCCAGAUCCUCAGUGUAUGAGUUGGUGUAUCCCUAACUAAUACAACAGAUGAGCCAGAAAUGUAGAAUUGCUUAACUGAAACAAACAUUCAGACCUGGAACUCUACAUUCCUGUAAGCACUGGGGGUUCUUGGUUAGGCAGCUCUCCCCUAUGCAGUGAUUCAGGGACCCUGAAUUUAGCCAAAAAAUAUUCAGCUUUGUCAAUUUAUCAUUUUCUUAAAGGUGACAAAAGCACUAAUAAAGAAGGCAACAGUCAAUAUGUGAUAAACUUUAGCUAUGUGUAUAAAAAUUGUCUCCACAAGUCACUAUGAUUACUUGAUAGAUGGUCAAGAUACACAUAUUGCCACCAUUGUCUCUUUAAAAUAUCUUCAUAGAGUUUAUGAUGUAGGAUAUUUUUAAGCGUGAAACUUUCAUUAUGAAAUUUGCUUAAUGCUAAUAUAGCACCAUUUCUGGGUUGCAAAGAGUUUAAUAUUUCAGUGAAUGUGUGGAUUAAAUAUGUAUACAAAAUUUGUAUAUAACACAUCUUUCCAUAUGUGUAUAUAUGUGUAUAAUACAUCUGUCCAUAUGUAUGUAUAAUACAUACAUGGACGGAUGUAUCUAUAUACAUCCGUCUAGAUAUAUAUGUAUAUACAUAUAUAUGGAGACAACAUAUAUAUGGGGACAACAUAUAUAUGGAGACACAUAUAUAUGGAGACAGAUGAUAGAGACAUAGAGAUAGAAUCAAUGCUCUUUAAGGAUUUUAAACAAUGAAUAUGAUCCCACUAGGUUAAUCUAAUCAAGCAACAACCAAGGAGGAAUAGUCCUGCCUCACAAAAUGAUCCCUUUAUCAAAGAGAAAAGACUCAAUUGAAUAAAUCAUGAGCUUGACCAGAAGUAAACUCUUGUAAUCUAACCCUGAUUGGUGAGGAUAAACAAAAGGGCUUAUAUCUUUGAAGAUAAAUAUAAUAAUUCUGCUCCUCUGUAAAUAAGUAUAAAAUUACAAGGGUCUCACGAAGUUGCUAUGAAGUCGUCAGUGGGGCUGUGAUCUCCUCUGAGGCUCAGGGUCCUCGUCCAAACUCACUGGUGUUGGGAGAAUUAAGUUACCUGUGGUUGUAGACUGAGGUCCCAAGUCCCAUACACUUUAUGACAUAGCUGAUUGUUUUCUUCAAGGCCAGCAGGAGAAUAUUGCUUCUAUUUUGAGCCCUUUUUCUGGGGAAGGGCUUGAUCAUCUUUUAAAGAGUGCUCUUGAUGAGCUCAGCCCUCCCAGAAGAAGCAGCCUUCUGAUUAACUCAAAGUCAAUGGCUUUGGGACCAUGGUUACAUCUUCAAAAUCCCCUCACCAAACCACAGGAGUGAUAUCCCUCAUAUUCACAGGUCCUGUCUGUAGUGAAAAGAGAGGAUUAUAUUGGGCAUUUAUGCCAAGGGGUUAUAAUUUUGGAUACCAUAUUAGAAUUUUGCUUUCCACACCUCCAAACUAUUUCAACUAAAUAAAGGGCAUUUCAUUUGGCAAUAUGGAUAAGUUUUAAAUGCUAAGGCUCAAUAAAGCCUAAGAAAAGAUAGUAAAUCAGGAAAAAAGGGCAAACAGAUAUAUUAAACAUAAGGGCUAGUAUUUGUGCUGCUAAUGAAAUUUGUAUUUGGUAUUGACCUUCCUGGCAGCCAAAAAAAAAAAAAAAAAAAAAGGAAGAAAAUAAUAUAUUUUAAGAAAAGAAAAGUUUUUAUGGAGUUUAUUCUGAUAAUAUUAUCUCAUAUUGUUCUUUGUGUGUUAGUGCAUUGCUAAAGGUAUUUUCAUUUUUGUAGUCUAUCAAGGACUGUUAAUAGAAAAAUUAGAGCGUAAUAAAAGAUGACACACUGAAGGAGAUUUGUUCAGCUAAUGAGGCCUAUUCUUGUGGAAUCAACCUUUUCCCUUCAUGCUAUACCUCUAUUUUUAAAAUUUAGCAACAAAGAGCCUAGUCAAAGCAAUUUGGAACUUUGGCCAAUACAUCAGAAAAUACACACAUAAUAAAAAUCAACAUUAUACAGAUACCAUUUGCAGCUGUUGGCUCUGCUGAGAGCAGAGGUUCCCAUGUACAAAAGAUUUGCCUAAAAUCUCAGAGUCAAGAAAAUUCAGUUCAAAUCCAUCUACACCAAAGUUCUUCUCUUUGCAUUUUUAUUUGCAAACCAAAAAUGUCUUUUCAGAUAAGUCAACUAAAACUUUGAUGUACUGUAUAAUCUAAAACUCUAUAAAAUGUUUUAUGUAUUGUAUAGGUUUAUAUGAAUUUUUAGACUGAGGAUAUAGAAUUUUGGAACUAUUUCAUUAAUGAUUCCUAUAUGGUAACACCAUACUUCUUAAAUAUGAUGAUAGAGAAUUGUCUUUUGUCUGAGAUCAUGUUUAGGAAAACCUACAGAACUUAAGCCCAGUCUGUUUCAAAUAGAAAAACAUAUCUCUGGCUAUUUUUAAGGGUUGUUAUUUUUUCUCAAAAUAUGAACUUCACAUAAUAUGAACAUCUUAAUCCUUAGAGAAUUUGGUACAUUUACUGUAACCUUAUACAAAAGAUUCAUAUUUUUCUACUCAAAUGUUGGAAACAAUAAAAGUUGCCCUUGUAUGUUUCAUAAACUGUAACAGGAAUCACCCACCAGUAAAGUAAUAAGCACACGGUGUAUCAAUUCAAAGACGUCCAGUUUUAGAAAUAUAAACUUAAUCCUCUUCCCCUCCCUUUUUUUUUUUUGUAUUUAGCUUUUGUAAGCAUGGUUUGUAUUUGCAUAACCCACCAUUCAUAUUCUUGUGAGUUCAUGAUAUAAAUAAUUUGAAAAAUUUCAUUCAGUUCCCCAAAUUAUUCUAGUCAUUAUGGAUGAUUCAUGAGAGGAUUAAUCUCUUGGAUGUGACAUAAAACUAGAGAGGAAAGACACUACCUAUCAUAUCAUUUGCAGUUAAGAACAUGCUGCAUAUCUUUAAGCUUUACUUAAAGUGCUUAUAGUAAUUGGGUGUGCAUGCCUUAGCUCCGUUAAAACCCAAACAGCAAUAUGGGAGAGUGUGGUUUGUUUUUUAAAUGUGCAAGGAAGGAAAAUUAGUGAAAUCUGUUUAAGUCACAAAACUGCCUCAUUCAGGACCCAAUUCAGCAGCAUGGAAAAAGUAACUCAAGUUAACUGUACUCUUAGCAUAUGUCUAAGCUCACAAAUUUCAAUUCACUUCAAAUUUCUUUCUUCUCCCAUGGAUCUGCCUGCAAAGAAAAGAGAUACAAAGAUGGCAAACCGGUUCAACAGUUCAUUAGCCCUAGAUUCUCUUAGGGUUUUCAGAAUAAAAACGUGUCCAUUUGCAGACCAAAUUCCUUUAUGUGUUGGAAUGGCAAUGCGCCUCAAGAACUGUUUACGUUGCAUUGUGGGCCUUCCUUUUUUUUCCCUCUUCACCCUCUACUCCUGCCACUGCCAUACAUGAUUACACACAUGCAUAUGGAGUUAAGGGUAUAAUGUAUUUUGAUUUUAUCCAUGCAAGUAAAAUUUGGUGGAGGAAACAAAACUAAGCUAAUGAACAAAAGAUUUCAGAAUUAUACAGAGAUUGUGGUUUAGUGACCUAAAUUGCACCAUAAUCCUUUAAAGGAUUACAGUAUUUGGAUAGGAAAAAAGAUUUAUCUUUCUAUAAUGGCAUCUCUGUAUAAGAGGAUAUUAUUGGAUAUGAGCUGCAUGGUAGCAGCAGAUAUUUUUCUCCACGUC